rnacentral:lncRNA from 1 species
UCAAAUUUUCAUGGUAGAAAUUAUAUGAUCCAUACUUUUUACGAAAUGUAUCGAUUAUUUCAUGCGAGCUAGCUAAGCAUUUCAUAGAAACACUUUUUAUGAUUCCAAUCGAGUAUUUUGUUUUUGUUAAUUGAGUUAAAAUUUAAUUAUGGAAAUUAAAAUACUAUAUAAUAACGUAUUGCAAACAAUCACAUUAAGCAUAAUCGAUAUAAAGAAUUGAAUUUUUAAAGUUUUCACCAACUCAUCAAAUAUAAAUGUACAUUAUUCAAUUGAAAAAUUUCUUUUGUUCGAAAAUUACCCCACCUUAAACUCGGCGUUCUCUGCUACAGCGAAAUCAUCAGCUCUAAUUCUGCUAAAUGAGUUAUGCUCAUCUCCCAAUUUUUCAUAUGUAAACUGACAAGGAUAUUAAGUAAGAUUCAAUUGCAAUAUCAUAUAGCAAGCAAGUCACUUUUUUUCUUUGCAGAUCUGGGCGUGUAUCUUGUCUGGCGUAUCGUACACUUUAAUGCAGAUUUGUCUGAAAAUGACGUGAGGCGACAUUUUCAAAUCUCACGUCAGCCUAUGCAUGCAGCUCACUCUCUUUCCAACUGAGCAUCAAAAUAGGAUUACGCGAGUGAAGUGCGUUUCUCGAUUCAGCUUCUGAAGUUGCUCAUCCGUUUCCGUGACGCGCAACGAUAUUCGCAGGUGCUUAUUUUCGCCACGUAACAAUGGAAAGCAGAAAAGAGAAAAAAUACCCGUGAGAUUUAUGCGUUUUCAAACUCGCUGUUUAUUAGGUGUUCCGCUUCUCUUUGUUGGGAAUCAUCAGCAUUAUUACCCGCUUGAAGAUAUAUGAAGACAAGUGCAUCAUCAAGAUACAGGGCGAGAGAGAAAGAUAGAAAGAGAGAGAGAGAGAGAGACGGAGAACCAGUUAAGAGACUGUUUACACGUUCUUCGAGUGUUAUAAAUGCGUCUCGUUAAAUUUAGAGUUGCAAAUAAUACUGGACUGAGCAGCGUCAGGACUACCGGCGCCUUUCAAACACACCUACAUAUAUACAAAAUAUAACACGUUAUUCAUACAUAUAUAUAUCAGCAACAUAUAGUAAGGGUGAGAGAAGGAGAGAGAGAGAGAGAGAGAGAAAGUGUACGUGUGCGAUUGUGUGUGGUGAGUAUGUGAGCCAGAAUUGAUGUGUAUAUAUUCCCAUUUCUCUCCUUUCUUAUUAUUAUUCUCAUUCCAUUUGAGCCCGACCUUAUCAUUUACUCGCCCCAUCCCUUUUGACGCACAAUUUGAUCGUUGCGUCACUGUAAUUGUAGAUACGUCGCCGCGAUCAAAGUAAUCCGGUGUCACCAUCUGAUGUAUUAUUUGAACUAUGUCUAAUGUCUGAUGCUUCAACUCAUUGAAUUACACACGUUGCUAGUUUACACUAUAGUUAUGUACAUAAUAUAAAUGUAAACAUACAAACGCUAACGAACUCAUGAAUGGUAUAUGUAUAAUAUAACACAUAAAUAGAUAAAUAGUUCAUACACAAGAGUGUCAAAAAUGUUGUGCAUAUAAGCGUAGUAAAUUUUCCAUUUUUUAAUUGUUGAAUAUAAAAAUAAAGGAAAACUGUACAUGAAAAAAAUAUAUAAAUAAACUAAAUUAAUUUGUAAAUAAUGAAUACACGUAUACGUAAAUGUGAAAUCAUAUUGCGUCUUUUAUUUAACAUUAUUCAUUAUAUUAUGUUUCCAGGAUACGUCAUUGGAAUGGCUUUAUUGACGCAAGCAAUAUCCAAUUAUGUUUUAAUUGAUAAUCAUAACAGAUAUAAUAAUAAUUAUAACAAUGGGGAUUUGGAAAACUAUAAGAAACGCGUAAAAUCGAGAUUUUCAUUAUAUUGUUA